GCGACACGUCCAAGAAGAUCCUGAGAGCAAUCAACAGAACAUUCGGUUAGUGCACAAACAGUGCCGACUAGUCGUUUCCAAUAAUUGACUAGAUUACUUUAUUUAGCAGAGCCUUCUGGCCCAACCACACCUACACAAAAAAAACCUAUUUAUUCAUAUGUCUUCGGAAAGUGGGAGGAAGCCAGAUUAUCCAAUUCAACCUGCAUUACUCAAUCAGUAAAUGCAGAAUAAAGUGUUAGAGAAAGUGAAGUGUGGCUGUGAGAUCAUAAAGAGCUACAUUGUGAGAUCCUUAUUCUACUAGGGGGCAAUUCAUAGAACACAAAUCAUUAUUGUCCAUCCACUCCUGCACACCACUGUUGUAAUGUGUAGUUAUUUGAAUUACUGUUGCCUUGCUGUCAGCUUGAAGCAGUCUGGCCAUUUUCCUCUAAGCUCUCUCAUUCAUAAGGCAUUUUUGCCCACAGAACUGCAGAACUGGAUGUUUCUUGCACUGUUCUCUGUAAACACUACAGACUGUUGUGUGUGAAAAUCCCAGGAGAUCAGCAGUUUCUGAGAUACUCAAACCUCUCUGUCUGGCACCAGCAAUCAUUCCACAGUUAAAGUCACUUAGAUCAGGUUUCUUCCCCAUCUGCUGUGUGGUCUGAACAACAUCUUGACCAUGUCUUUAUGCACGGACUUGCUGCCACAUGAUUGGCUGAUUAGAUAUUUGCAGUGACGAUGUGGACAGGUGUACCUGAUAAAGUGACUGAUCGGUGUAGAAUCUCAUUGCUCCCCAGACUGAAUCUAGAAUUCCUCACUGCUCCCUAAGGAAUCCUUAACCACAACAGUUUCCUACCUUACUAAUAUGACCAAUCUAUAAUGGUCCAGUCCCAGGGACAUUCCUGAAGGAACUACCCUAAAGACAAUACACAAGCUCUUCUUCCACAGUACUUUUCUCAAUUUGGUUAUUCUAAUCAUUAUGCAGAUGUCAUAAGUCAGGUGUUGAAUCAGGACUCAACUGCAGGACACAGACACUGGAGUCCCGGAAACAGGACGAGACAGAACCCAAGGGUGGGAUGGGAUGCAGUCUAGGCAGGGGAAGCAGGACCAGGAUGAGGGACUGGGAACAAGGAGCCUGGGGUGGAGCCCGAGACUAGACAAGGACCUGGAACCUGGGUCUUGCCUCGAGCUUGGACCCCUAAACCCAGGCGAGGACAUGACGAGGCUUGGCUAGGGACUUGGGGUCUUGAGGCUUGGGGCUGGAGGCCGCAGGCUUGGGUCGAGGCUUGGGGCUGGAGGCCGCAGGCUUGGGUCGAGGCUUGGGGCUGGAGGCCGCAGGCUUGGGUGGAACCUUGGGGCUGGAGGCCACAGGCUUGGGUCGAGGCUUGGGGCUGGAGGCCGCAGGCUUGGGACGAGGCUUGGGGCUGGAGGCUGCAGGCUUGGGGAACUCGGAGGCUGGAGCUAGGGACAGACUAGGAACUGUACAUCAACAUGGAGCCGGGACUUAUCCUCCGACAAGCUGGGACUCGUCUGUAACUCCACACCAAGGUGGGGCAGGACCAUCCGUUGGGUAACGGCAGAACAGCCUGACCUAACCGACAGAGUCAAAGACAGGACAAGACAGAUUCCCCCCGCAGGGCAACGGCAGAAUGGUGGACUUACCCCACGGGGGCGAGGACAAGGCAAGACAGACCCCCCCGCAGGGCAACGGCAGAAUGGUGGACUUACCCCACAGAGGCGAGGACAAGGCAAGACAGACCCCCCCGCAGGGCAACGGCAGAAUGGUGGACUUACCCCACAGAGGCGAGGACAAGGCAAGACAGACCCCCCCCGCAGGGCAACGGCAGAAUGGUCGGACUUACCCCAUAGAGGCGAGGACAAGGCAAGACAGACCCUCCCGCAGGGCAACGGCAGAAUGGUGGACUUACCCCACGGGGGCGAGGACAGGAAGAGACAAACGCCAAGGAACGACAGAGAGUUCCACCUCUGCAUCGGGGUAGCUCCGAGUAGCCGUUACAGCCAGCAGCCUGGGCUGACUGCGGAAGCAACCGGAUCCCUACCUAGCUCAGAGUGGCUGACGGACACCCAGCUGGCCCAGGAAACAGCUGAAUCCAUACCACAAUGACAGCUCCGACUACUACCAGCAAGACUCCCAGAAACCAUGGUUGUCCAACGUGGCCCCAAGGAUGGCAGGAGUGCACUCAAGCCUUCCACCAGCCAUCUGUGCCAUGAGUAUCUUGACAGGACGACCCCACCCCCCCCACAACCACACUGAAUACCAGGGCCACUUGUAUUACCAGUUCCAACAUGAGACCGCCGGAAAACCCGGAGUCCGGAGUACGCGGACCGCACCAUGGACUUCAGACUGAACCACCACAGCAGAUUAAAGCUCUCCCUUGCUAUUGAGUUCGAGAGUCACAAGAUAAUUUUGCAGCUCUAUAAGUCAGCAUGUAGGCGGGAGGUCAACAACCUGGCUGAGAAGUGCCUCAACACAACCUCUCACUCAGUGUCAGCAAGACCAAAGAGCUGAUUCGAGAGUUCAGGAGGAGGUCAUGAGCCAGCCCUCAUCGGGGGAUCAGGGGAGAAGAGGGUCAGCAACUUUAAGUUCCUCGGAGUUAUCAUUUCAGAGAAUGUGUCCUGAGCCCAACAUGUAAUUGCAAUUAUGAAGGAAGCACAGCACCGCCUCUACUUCCUUAAGAGUUUACGACGAUUCAGCAUAACAUCUAACACUUUGACAAACUUCUAUAGAUGUGUGGUGGAGAGUAUAUUGACUGGUUGCAUCACAGCCUGCUAUGGAAACACCAAUGCCCUAGAAUGAGAAAUGUUAUAAAAAGCAGUGGCUCAAUGCAUCACGGGUAAAGCCCUCCCCACCGCUGAACACAUCUACAUGGAACGCUAUUGCAAGAAAGCUGCAUCCAUCAUCAGGGAACUCAUCACCCAGGACAUGCUCUCUACUCACUGCUGUCAUCCAGAAGGAGGUACUGGAGCCUCAGGACUCACACUACCACGUUUGGGAACAGUCAUUACCCCUCAACCAUCAGGCUCUUGAACCAGUAGGAAUAACUUCAUUCAAAAAGGAUCCAGUGCUUUCCUGGCGUAUAUGAUGAAUAAAUUCUUCUAAGGUUUCCAGCCAGGUAGAGGUAUCAAUUAAACAAAGCUGAAGGUCCCACUCUAAGUAAGAACUGGAAUUUGAUUGUAAACAAGGUGGGAGAGCAGAAACCUGAUUGGAUAAGGACUAACCAAUCAGGAAGGACAGACUACGGGAGUAUAAAUAUCACUGGACUACACACGACUAUGUAUCCCUGAUGAAGAUGGCAGAUUUUGUCUUUGAAACUUUCAUCAUAAUUCAUAGUUUACCCAGCUGAAAGCCCAAGAAAAGUUUAAAUUUCAUUCAACUUCAUUUGCCCCAUCACUGAACUUUUCCCACAACCUAAGGACUCACUUUCAAGCACUCUUCAUCACAAGCUCUUGAUAUUGUAUGCUUAUUACUUAUUUCUUUCUCUUUUGUAUUUGCACAAUUUGUUGUCUUUUGCUCAUUGGUUGUCUGUCUGUCUUGUUGGUGUGGUCAUUCAUUGACUCUAUCAUGGCUCUUGGAUUUACUGAAGACGCCCACAAGAAAACAAAUCUCAGGAUUGUAUAUGGUAACGUGUGUUCGGUUCUGGUUUCCUCAUUGUAUCUCAGUGCAUAUGACAAUAAUAAUCAAUUUCAGAGUAGUACAGGAUUUAAGAGAUAUGGGGAUUGUGCAGAAGAGCGGAGUUUGAGUUAGAAAAUAAGGCAGAGUCACAUUGAAUGGGACAGCAGGACAGAGGGACCAAAUAACUUACCCCUGAUGCUAUUUCUUAAGCUCUAAUGCUGUCCUUGUGAUCAUCUACAGUCUUCACAGGUACUCCAUUGGCAGCCAUGCCUUUAUUCUUUGUAAAGGUAAAAUAAUCUUAGGAUGGUGCAAUAACAAAGCUUCUCCCUCUCCCUUUCUUCUCACUCUCCCACUCUUUCUCCACUGAAACUGUUGGAUUAGGGUCUACAAUUUACCCUUCAUAAUUCAGUAUAACUAUCAAAUCUCCCCUCAUUCUCCUACACUCCAGGGAAUAAAAUCCUAACCUGUUCAACCUUUCCCUGUAACUUGAGUUCUCAAAUCCCGGUUAACAACCAGGGAAAUCUUCUCUGCACUCUUUCAAGCUUAUUGCUAUCUUUACUGUAAGUAGGUGACCAUAACUCUACACAAUAUUCCAAAUUCACCCUCGUCAACAUCUUAUAAAAUUUCAGCAUAACAUCCCAAUUCCUGUAGUCAGUGCUCUCCAGGGUCCCCAGCACUCAGGGCAUGCCCUUUUUUCAUUGUUACCAUCAGGUAGGAGGUACAGAAGCCUGAAGGCACACACUCAGUGAUUCAGGAACAGCUUCUUCCCCUCUGCCAUCUGAUUUCUAAAUGGUUAUUGAAGCUAUGGGCAUUACCUCACUUUUUAAAAAUAUACAGUAUUUCUGUUUUUGCACAAUUUUAAAAAAUCUAUUCAAUAUACAUAAUUGACUUACUUGUUUAUUUAUUAUGUUUUAUUUUAUUUAUUAUUAUUAUUUUUUCCCUCUCUGCUAGAUUAUGUAUUGCAUUGAACUGCUGCUGCUAAGUGAACAAAUUUUACGUCACAUGCCAGUGAUAAUAAACCUCUUUCUGAGAGUUCCCAUCAACUCUUGCCAGAUUCUCUCACCCACCCACAAACUUGGGGCAAUUUGCAGUGGCCCAGAGACCCACCUUGCACGUCCUUGGACUGUGGGAGGAAACCAGAGCACCCAGGGAAACCCACAGUCACAGGGAGAAAACUUGCAAACUCCACAUAGGUCAAGGUCGAAAGUCCUCAUCGUUCCACUAGCUGCCUCACUCCGCUACAAAUUUUAUGCUCACUUGGAUUUUAAGAAAGUUCCCUCUCCUUGGAUAGUGACACAAUGGAUAGUAUUUUCUGCAUGUUUAGGAAGGCUGAAUUCAAAUAUGAAUUUCCAGAAUAAUAAUAUAGAUUCAAAUUCUGCCCUUCAUAGUGAUCACAGGUAGAUCUAUAAGGUCUGUACAUUCUCCUCAUGAUGGUGUGGGUUUCCUGCCACAUUCCAAAUGUGUAUGGUUAGUUUUGGGUUAGAUAGUUGUGAGCAUGCUAUGUUGGCGCUGGAAACAUGGGGACACUUGUCAGCUGCCUCCAGCACAUCCUUAGAUUGUGUUGGGCAUUGACACAAAUGACACAUUUCACUGUAUGUUUCGAUGUAUGUGUAACAAAUAAAGCUAAUCUUUAUUGAUUA